rnacentral:lncRNA from 1 species
UGGGGCUCAGAGGUGUUAGAUGACUUGUCCUGGGGCUGAGGACUCAUGCUUGUGAGGCCUCUGGCCUCAGCCGUGUCCCUCCUGAUCCCUUUUCUACCUCUCCACCCCCAGGCUUCACAAGGGCUGUGGCGCCGGCUGCAAUAGUGGCGGGAACGUGGAUGAUUCAGACUGUAGUGGGGGCGGUGGCCUGACCUCCCUCAGCAAUAACCCCCCCGUGGCACACCCCACACCUGAGAACACGGCAGGCAAUGGUGACCAACCCCUCCCACCAGGCCCUGGCUGGGGGCCGCGGUCCUCCCUGAGUGGCUCUGGUGAUGGGCGGCCCCCACCUCUGCUGCAGUGGCCUCCCCCUCGGCUCCCUGGACCACCCCCUGCAUCGCCUAUCCCCACAGAGGGUCCCCGGACCUCACGGCCCCCUGGCCCGGGUCUCCUCAGUUCUGAGGGCCCCAGUGGGAAGUGGAGCCUGGGGGGCCGGAAGGGGCUGGGAGGAUCUGACGGGGAGCCAGCCUCAGGGAGCCCCAAAGGAGGUACCCCCAAAUCUCAGGCGCCUCUAGACCUCAGCCUCAGCCUCAGCCCCGAUGUCAGCACUGAGGCCUCACCCCCCAGAGCUUCCCAGGACAUUCCUUGCUUGGACAGCAGUGCCCCUGAGAGUGGCACACCUAUGGGUGCCCUGGGCGACUGGCCUGCCCCUAUUGAGGAGCGUGAGAGCCCGGCAGCCCAGCCCCUGCUGGAACACCAGUACUGAGCUACCUGGCGCCCACUGGACCUCCUCCUAGGAUUCAGUAACGGACCUGCUCUGCUGCCUCUCUGCUGGACCACAGAACUGAGUGGCUUUGGCCUACAUGUCUGAACCCUGACCUUUGGCUGCCUUGGCCAGAGUGCCAAAACUGAGUGACCCAGACCUCUGACCUUGACCCCUGAUCUCUCUCAUCCCCAGUCCAGGGCCUGGGCUCCCCAGAUGGAGGCAGUCAGCCUCCCAGCCAGGCCCUAAGAGCCAAACCAUGGGCUGGUCCCACUUGGAGCCUGUGGCCAGGACCACUUCAGCCCCUGGGCCUGCACUGCCUGCAGGGGUGGCCCCCUUGGCCUGGACCUGGGGCCUGAAUUG